rnacentral:rRNA from 1 species
AGUGAACGCUGGCGGUAGGCCUAACACAUGCAAGUCGAACGGCAGCACAGUAAGAGCUUGCUCUUACGGGUGGCGAGUGGCGGACGGGUGAGGAAUACAUCGGAAUCUACUUUUUCGUGGGGGAUAACGUAGGGAAACUUACGCUAAUACCGCAUACGACCUACGGGUGAAAGCAGGGGAUCUUCGUACCUUGCGCGAUUGAAUUAGCCGAUGUCGGAUUAGCUAGUUGGCGGGGUAAAUGCCCACCAAGGCGACGAUCCGUAGCUGGUCUGAGAGGAUGAUCAGCCACACUGGAACUGAGACACGGUCCAGACUCCUACGGGAGGCAGCAGUGGGGAAUAUUGGACAAUGGGCGCAAGCCUGAUCCAGCCAUACCGCGUGGGUGAAGAAGGCCUUCGGGUUGUAAAGCCCUUUUGUUGGGAAAGAAAAGCAGCAGGUUAAUACCCCGCUGUUCUGACGGUACCCAAAGAAUAAGCACCGGCUAACUUCGUG